CAAGUUGUUUUCUUCUCUUGACAAAACUCAGAUCAGCAAAUUUUCAUAUUGCACUAUUUUCAAUGGCUGGAACAUCAACAUUUUAUAACAAGAAAAAAAUCAAAGUUCUUCAGUACUUGGAAAAGAAGUGCUUGUAAAAAUGUUCACAUCCAUUCACCAUCUGGAAAAGCAAGGUUUUACAGUUAUUCCUAAUGAUGUUUAGAGUCACUAAGCAUUUUGGAAAAUGACCUCUUAUUGAAGAUAUUUCCUCCACAGGACACCACAGUGUUCACCUUUCUACAACGUUACACUUGCUUAGGACUUAUCUUGGAAAAUUAAAAGAAAUAUACACACAGAGCCAAGACUGUA
rnacentral:lncRNA from 1 species